AUUGAACGCUGGCGGCAUGCCUUACACAUGCAAGUCGAACGGCAGCACGGGUGCUCGCACCUGGUGGCGAGUGGCGAACGGGUGAGUAAUACAUCGGAACGUACCUUAUCGUGGGGGAUAACGCAGCGAAAGCUGUGCUAAUACCGCAUACGCCCUGAGGGGGAAAGCGGGGGAUCGAAAGACCUCGCGCGAUUAGAGCGGCCGAUGCCUGAUUAGCUUGUUGGUGGGGUAAAAGCCCACCAAGGCGACGAUCAGUAGCUGGUCUGAGAGGACGAUCAGCCACACUGGGACUGAGACACGGCCCAGACUCCGACGGGAGGCAGCAGUGGGGAAUUUUGGACAAUGGGGGCAACCCUGAUCCAGCAAUGCCGCGUGAGUGAAGAAGGCCUUCGGGUUGUAAAGCUCUUUUGUCAGGGAAGAAACACCGGCUCUAACACAGUCCGGGAAUGACGGUACCUGAAGAAUAAGCACCGGCUAACUACGUGCCAGCCGCCGCGGUAA
rnacentral:rRNA from 1 species